CUUUAAUGAUGAUUCUCCUGGUGGAAAUUUCUGGUAGGAAAGAGAAACCGUUCUGGAGGGCUGCUUGUUUUGUCUGGGUAAGAGUUCCCCGCCAAUGGCUUUUACUGCUUCUCAGACUGUCCUUGUCCCCUAAGUGAACUUCCUAGGGCUUAUCAUUUUUCUUACUCUAUUUUUAUGUUCUGAAAAUGGGUUCCAAUUAGCAACUUGACUGUUUAUAGAUCAGAAUAUCUAGCUUUUGGGGGGAAUGGUGGAGGGCUGUGCCAAUCAAUGAUGAUGCAGUUCAAUAGAAUGGAUGCAAUUAGCGGGGUCUGUAUAUACAAAUUUUCAACCGCUCUCUUCGGUAUGAAGAGCACACGGUUCAAAUCAUUGUUAAAAAUCCUCGGGGAAAAACAAACAAACAAACAAACAAACAAACAACACCAGUUAGUCUAAUAGUAUAAUUAGGAGCAAGAAAUUUAGUCAGGACCGUCUUGAAAUCUCCUUUGCCCAAUUCAGGCUUUGAGAAAUGGUGAGAGUGUGUGAGUGUGUGUGUGUGUGUGUGUGUGUGUGUGUACGCGCAUGCGACCGGUGAAAUAGGGGUCCUGCGUUUGCUUAUUUAGGUUACCAGUUAUUUUCCCACCCUCUUCUCGCAGCGUUUCCUUGCAAAUCAAACCGUUCCUCUCCCUUCCCUCGGCUUCCUCAACCCGGAGGAUUCAAAAAAGAUGGAGAGAGACUCCGCCCUCUCAUGAAUAUGCAACCGCGAGGGGCGGGGACGGAGCCGGGGAGACCAGCCCUGCGAGGAAAUUGACCCAGGGCCGCGGGAUCGGGCUCCGCCGGCCGCCCCGCCCUGCGCCCGCGCCCCCGCCGACCUGCGCGCCGGCCGAGCCGCGGGCCCGGGGAGCCCCUCGCCCGGAGGAGGGUCAGCGCCCUUGCCCUCGCCGGGGGCAUGUGGCAUCUGAGCAGCCCCUCGGAGCCGCAGGGAACUCCCGCCGGGAAGGCCAACGCCGGCCGGAUUAACGUCUCCCGACGGCGGGGCCCGAGGUCCCGCCCUUUGUGGUGCAAAUGAGGGGCGCUCAGGGGCCCGGGGGGCGGCGCUCGCCCGGGUGCAAGUUUGCGCGCGGCUGCUCCGAGACUUCCUUCACACUUUGAGCUCGGCGCGGGAUGCUCGGAUCCUCCCGGGGAGCCCCCUGCCAUCGUGGAGGGAUGCUGAGGAAGGACUUGUCCUUACGAGUCUCCAGUGCUCCAAACCUGGUAAGAAGGGCUUCCAUUCCUGUCCACUCCCCUACCCCACUAUCUCUUCUACACUUCUGGAGACUCAGACUGACAGCUUUAUGCUUUUCUUGACUUUCAACAUUCACCUUCUAUCAAAGCCUUUGAGUGACAUCUUCCUUUUUGAGGUUAGGCCUCCUCUUCCUAUAAUUAAGAAUUAG
rnacentral:lncRNA from 12 species